GAUUUCUGGUACGGUAGGCCUGGUCCGCCGGCGUCAAGCCGUGUGAGUACCGGCGCCUGCCUGCCAUCCUUCUGGGGAGCGUGUCUACCCUUCACUGGGCCGGGCACGUCACCUAGAUCGUUUACUUUGAAAAAAUUAGAGUGUUUAAAGCAGGCAGAUUGCUCUGAAUACAUUAGCAUGGAAUAAUAAGAUAGGACUUUGGUUCUAUUUUGUUGGUUUCUAGGACUGAAGUAAUGAUUGAUAGGGAUAGUUGGGGGUGCUAGUAUUCAACGGCCAGAGGUGAAAUUCUUGGAUUCGUUGAAGACUAACUUAUGCGAAAGCAUU
rnacentral:rRNA from 1 species